GUCGUUGGAGGGCGGCCGCCAGGUGUGGAGACAAGUGGGGAUCUUGUUGGGAACGCGUCUUUGCCGUCCUAGUGAGACAGUUUGCUCCUUUCUAACAGCCCGAUUUUUAGAUCACUAGGAAGCCUAGCCCUGGCCGCCUGACUGAGGGCGUUUCCAGGACUUGUGAGCCCUAAAUAUUCGGAGUGGCGGGCUUUCAGUGGCUACGGGCUUCAGUGGCGGAGAAAGACUCCAGCUAGGAGACAGCGCUACGGGUUGUUUCCUUCUGGGGAGCAGAUUCUUUCCCUUUCCCUUUUUAAAAUACAGGAUGUCACUGUGAUCCAAAUUAGACUCGAACUCUGACUGUCCUAGCUCAGUUAAGAUGCUAGUAUUAUCGACGUGAGGUCUGCAGGGCUGCAGUUUUUUCUGGUGUCUGACCCAGAUGCUUGAUUUUCUUUUUCCCCCUUUCAGUUCUGAACAUGGACCCAGGGCCUCACCAUUGCUAGGUAAAACACUAUCAUUGAGUUAUAUCAUUGCUAGGUAAAACACUAUCAUUGAGUUAUAUCUGCAGCCCUUUUUGUUUUAGUUUCAAGAUAGGGUCUUGCUUAGUGCCCCGGGGUGACAUUUAACUUUAAUUUUUUUUUUAAUUUUUACUUAUUUUGUGUGUAUAUGUGUAGGCGACUCGAGUUAGAUCAAGUCCGACUGGAUGGAAGGAGAGAAGAACUUCUCAGCCACGGACACCCCCCUCCCUCCCCAAAUAACUUAGGUUUUUAAAAAGUGGAUAGUGAUUUAGAAAAACAACUGAUGUUGACCUCUGGCCUCCAUAUGCAUUUGUGUACACACGUGCACACACACAUACAGACAUGUACAUAGUACACCAGAACGAAUACUAAGUAAAAUAGUUAUGAUGUGGAGAAGGUUGCUUUGCAGAAAUGUUUGUGUCUACUUUUGAAACAGUUGGG
rnacentral:lncRNA from 1 species